rnacentral:rRNA from 1 species
UGGGGAAUAUUGCACAAUGGGCGAAAGCCUGAUGCAGCAAUACCGCGUGUGUGAAGAAGGCCUGAGGGUUGUAAAGCACUUUCAAUAGUGAAGAAAAGUUCUUGGUUAAUAGCCUUGAACCUUGACGUUAACUAUACAAGAAGCACCGGCUAACUCCGUGCCAGCAGCCGCGGUAAUACGGAGGGUGCAAGCGUUAAUCGGAAUUACUGGGCGUAAAGGGCGCGCAGGCGGUUUGUCAAGUCCCGUGUGAAAUCCCCCGGCUCAACCGGGGAACUGCGCGGGAAACUAGCAGACUUGAGUUCGGGAGAGGAAAGCGGAAUUCCGGGUGUAGCGGUGAAAUGCGCAGAUAUCCGGAGGAACACCGGUGGCGAAGGCGGCUUUCUGGACCGACACUGACGCUGAGGCGCGAAAGCUAGGGGAGCGAACGGGAUUAGAUACCCCGGUAGUCCUAGCCCUAAACGAUGAGCACUGGGUGUAGGGGGUAUGAACCCCCCCUGUGCCGAAGCUAACGCAUUAAGUGCUCCGCCUGGGGAGUACGGUCGCAAGGCUG